AGAAUCAACGCUGGCGGCGUGCCUAACACAUGCAAGUCGCACGAGAAAGGGGAGCAAUCCCUGAGUACAGUGGCGCACGGGUGAGUAACACGUGAAUGAUCUACCUCCGAGUGGGGAAUAACUGAGAGAAAUCUUAGCUAAUACCGCAUAAUACCCACGGGUCAAAGCAGCAAUGCGCUUGGAGAGGAGUUCGCGGCAGAUUAGUUAGUUGGCGGGGUAAUGGCCCACCAAGACGAUGAUCUGUAUCCGGCCUGAGAGGGCGCACGGACACACUGGAACUGAAACACGGUCCAGACUCCUACGGGAGGCAGCAGUGGGGAAUUUUGCGCAAUGGGGGAAACCCUGACGCAGCAACGCCGCGUGGAGGAUGAAGCCCCUUGGGGUGUAAACUCCUUUCGAUCGGGAAGAUAAUGACGGUACCGAUAUAAGAAGCCCCGGCUAACUUCGCGCCAGCAGCCGC
rnacentral:rRNA from 1 species